GGUGAACGCUGGCGGCGUGCUUAAGACAUGCAAGUCGAACGGCAGUCUUCGGACUGUAGUGGCGCACGGGUGAGUAACGCGUAACUGACCUACCCCAAAGUCGCGGAUAACGAUUCGAAAGAAUCGCUAAUACGUGAUGUGCUGUCAGAUUGUGUUCUGCCAGUAAAGAUUGAUUGCUUUGGGAUGGGGUUGCGUUCCAUCAGCUAGUUGGUGGGGUAAAGGCCCACCAAGGCGACGACGGAUAGCCGGCCUGAGAGGGUGGCCGGCCACAGGGGCACUGAGACACGGGUCCCACUCCUACGGGAGGCAGCAGUUAGGAAUCUUCCACAAUGGGCGAAAGCCUGAUGGAGCGGCGCCGCGUGAGGGAUGAAGGUCUUCGGAUCGUAAACCUCUGAAUCAGGGACGAAAGACACUUCGGUGGGAUGACGGUACCUGAGUAAUAGCACCGGCUGACUCCGUGCCAGCCGCCGCCGUAAUAC
rnacentral:rRNA from 1 species